CCUACGGGGGGCAGCAGUGGGGAAUAUUGCGCAAUGGGCUAAAGCCUGACGCAGCGACGCCGCGUGAGGGAUGAAGGUCUUCGGAUCGUAAACCUCUGUCAGCAGGGAAGAACGGUCACUGUGCUAAUCAGCAGUGAAUUGACGGUACCUGCAAAGGAAGCACCGGCUAACUCCGUGCCAGCAGCCGCGGUAAUACGGAGGGUGCGAGCGUUAAUCGGAAUUACUGGGCGUAAAGCGCUCGUAGGCGGUAUGUCAAGUCAAGGGUGAAAUCCCCGCGCUCAACGUGGGAACUGCCUUUGAAACUGGCAAACUGGAGUGUGUGAAAGGAUAGUGGAAUUCCAGGUGUAGGAGGGAAAGCCGUAGAUAUCUGGAGGAACAUCAGUGGCGAAGGCGACUAUCUGGCACAUAACUGACGCUGAGGAGCGAAAGCGUGGGUAGCAAACAGGAUUAGAUACCCGUGUAGUC
rnacentral:rRNA from 1 species